rnacentral:rRNA from 1 species
UACGUAGGGUGCGAGCGUUGUCCGGAAUUACUGGGCGUAAAGAGCUCGUAGGUGGUUUGUCGCGUUGUUCGUGAAAACUCACAGCUCAACUGUGGGCGUGCGGGCGAUACGGGCAGACUAGAGUACUGCAGGGGAGACUGGAAUUCCUGGUGUAGCGGUGGAAUGCGCAGAUAUCAGGAGGAACACCGGUGGCGAAGGCGGGUCUCUGGGCAGUAACUGACGCUGAGGAGCGAAAGCGUGGGUAGCGAACAGG